rnacentral:tRNA from 1 species
GCCUUAGAAGCUAAGUGGAAAGCUAUUAAUCUUGUAAAUUAAAGGAUGAAGGUUCAAAUCCCUCAUAAGGC